UACGUAGGGUGCGAGCGUUGUCCGGAAUUAUUGGGCGUAAAGGGCUCGUAGGCGGUUUGUCACGUCGGGAGUGAAAACUCGGGGCUUAACCCCGAGCCUGCUUCCGAUACGGGCAGACUAGAGGUAUGCAGGGGAGAACGGAAUUCCUGGUGUAGCGGUGAAAUGCGCAGAUAUCAGGAGGAACACCGAUGGCGAAGGCAGGUCUCUGGGCCGAUACUGACGCUGAGGAGCGAAAGCGUGGGGAGCGAACAGG
rnacentral:rRNA from 1 species